ensembl:lncRNA
GGCGGAACCACUGAGCUAAAUCCCUGGCUCCACAUUGCUAUUAAUUCCCAUCAAGAUACUCUCGGCUUUGAACACACUUAUCCCAUCAUCUGUGCCACUUCCUGAAGCAGUUCUGGAAGUCCUCUUUCAUGAGUGUCUUUAGUUGUGCUAUCAGGAGAGCCUGGGAAUUUUGAACUGGCAUCCUGAAGUUCCUGACCUGAGGACAUGGAAAGUUGGGACUUAGUGGGACACUGUCUUUAGCCGUGUGCAGAGGAAAGCAGAGGUCAGCAGCCAUGGAACGAGACAGGAAGAGAAAGGGAACAGGAGGAGGAAGACAAGAGUUAAAGGAAGAAAGAGGGAGGGGGAGGGGAGGAGAGAAUGAGAAUCUCAUGGCAGAAAAGGGAGGAGCCCAGAAACCUACACUUGCUUUUUAACAAUCCACUCUUGGUAGCAGGGGAUUUAGCUCAGUGGUUUUACCCCCUGCUGCGCAAGCGCAAAGACCCAAGUUCAAUCCCCGGUACCAAAAAAAAUCCACUCUUGGUAACUAAUCCAGCCCUGCCCAUUCCUGAGGUGGGAAUGAAUCCUUCCACUGUGCCCUUAACUGCCUCUACUAGGCCCCGCCUCUUAAAGAUGGCUCAUCUCUCAACAGGAGUGCUGUAGACUCAGCUUCCAGUAUAGGAAUCUCUGGGGGACAAAUCACAUCCAGGCCACAGUAAUGCCUCAGUCACUGUGGUGCUAUUCUUAGUGGAACUUGCAUCGAAGUGGGCGCUUCUGGGAUAAUCUUCCUCUGCCUUCUGCAGAGUGAGCCUGGGUCAAGACUUCAACAGAGAAGCUGCCCCGACCACUGGUCACCCUGGUGCCUCCUCAGAUAGGUACAUGGCUUUGUUCCCUCAGUUCUCCAAGUUUUUGGUACCGGGGAUCGAACUCAGGACCUUGCGCUUGCAAGGCAGGUGGUGGAACCGCUGAGCUAAAUCCUCAGCCUCCUCCCAAGUUUCUUAACAAAAAUCUGCCAAAGAACCUGGUUUGUCCCUGAAUUUUUCUUUGUUUUAAAAUAUUUUUGAGAUAGAGUCUUGCUAAGUAUUUCAGACUGGCCUUGAACUGUGUAACCCAGACUGGCCUCAAACUCAUGGUGAUCUUCCUGCUUCAGCCUCCUGAGUGCUGGGAUUGAAGGCUUGAGCCACUCCGCCUGGCUUGUCCCUGAAUUUUCUAACCCAGCCCGAAGUACCAUGCGAUUUUAUAACUUGCUGAGCUAGAAGGGCCAUGGGCACUUUCAUGAAUGCUGGGGUGCAGGGACGGGGUGUGAUUCCAUGGUAGACCAUUUGCCUAGCGUGUGUGAGCCCUGGGCUCCAUCCCCAGCACUGGAGGGAAAUAGGUAGAGUCCUCUUUUCUCUCUUGACGACACAUUCUAAGAGUGAGAGUAUGUUUGGUGAACCUAGUGCUUCCAAAGCCAUAAAGCAGAGCUGACGGAAUAAAGAAUUAGCCCCUCCAGCUAACAUGAAGGGCACAAGGGUGUGAUGAAGUCCCACGAGGUCCCACGACAAAUACGAAUGGAAAAAGUCAAGACUACUAAAUGGUGGAAAGGUGUGUUUGGGGGGGACAGUCACAGACACUGUGGGCCAGAUCAUAAGAAUCAGCACAGCCACCUUGGUCUUGAACCAAGUGGCCACCAGGAUGUUCAGCCUGGCGCCAGGGUGGGUGCCCUGCAGAGGGGUGAUGGGAACAGCAAGCGCUCCAUGGCUCCGCCCACAUGGAGAGCUCCUUUUGCUAGCAUCUGUUAACCUUAUUUGCCUCUGAAAAACUGUUGGCUGUGAAUAAGAAAGGGGACCUCCCUUUCAGAAUCAUGGAAGCCAGAGGCCCCAUCAUGCUUUGUGGCACUGUAACAGGAAGAAACACACAAUGGAGACAUUUACCUUCCAGAGCUCAGAGUUGUCUACAUACAAGAAUAAUAUGAGGGCUGGGGAUUUAGCUCAGUGGUUCUGCUGCCUGGCUCACAAGCGCAAGGACUUGAGUUUGAUUCCUGGUACCAAAAAAACCCCCCAAAAACUCAGGCACUUUGUUUUUUCUUCUUGUAGUGCUGGGGAGGAACCCAUAGCCUUGUGCAUGGUCUAGUCCAGGCACUGCUGGUACUUUAUAAGGUGUCUGAACUUUUAAAAAGAUCUGUGAGCCAGUGUGGGGGUGUGUGCUGAUCAUCCCAGCACUCUGGGAGGCUGAGGCAGGAGGACUGCAGGUUCCAGCCCAGCCUGGGUAACUCAGCAACUUACUGAGACCCUGUCUUGAAAUAAAAAAUAAAAGGGCUGAUGAAGUAGCCCAGUGUGAAUGCCCUGGGUUCAACCCCCAGUACCUGAAAAAAGAAAAAAAACAAGGAUUUGUGGCUGUCUUAGGGUGUCUAUUUUCUGUUACCGUCAGAGAAUAUCUGAGACUGGGUGAUUUAUAAACAAUUUUAUUUUCGCUUGCAG